UACGAUUGUUCUCUACAAUGCAAGGAAGUUUUACAGCGCUGUAAUCAUUGUGAUUUCAUGCUGGACCAUAAAAGCUGGACUAAGGCGUUCCUUGCUUGCCCAGGCCUAACCGCGCACAAGAUGUCCGCCAUCACCUCGUCGAAUGAAGGAAUAACAAAUGCAAGAAAAUACUCGAAUUUAUGCUAUUUAAAAGCAUGGCUGCUGCAGUCCACUGGGCCUGUUGUCAAAGAUUUUUCAUUGCUUUCUUGCUUGAUUGUGUUAUAGGUGCGCAAACUCAGUAGAAAUACCAUGUCUUCAGUUAUCAUGUCUCUGGACCAGUUUGACGUUGUUCCAAAUAAGAUCAUGCACCUCUGCAUAAUGGAAACGCACUUGAGGUGCCUCUACAAAGAGGCCCUCCUCAAGUCACGUGGGGUCUUGACUCGAUCCCCUGGCCAAACUGGCAUCAUCAAUCAUCAGGAGCAGUCUUCUACUUAACAUACCUUGUUCUUUAUAAUGGCCAGACGACAGCUGGAUUCCUUUCGCUUGCAACAACAACUGAAAAAUAAAACACAACAAUAACAAUAAAAUAAAGCACUGGAUUGCCUUCUACAAUAAUUGUAGACAUGUAAAAUGAGAGAUGAUCAAACUCCAAGACUUACAUUAAUAUUAACAUAUGAUUACCAAGUGGUUUAGAAUAUUUAUACUGCAUUAAGUACUUGAUCAAAUCUUGAUAAUGCUUUUUAUGUAAAAGAAAAUAGUACCGGUUUGAUAAUCUCAAUUUCUAUCAUGGUUACUGCAGUUGAAUAUCAACCAAAACUUUUUAAUAAUUUCCUUGACUAUUGGUGAUAUAUUUUGAGAAAGAGUUGGGCAUUUUAGAGUUGUGAUUAAGGGAUGUUCAAGUGUAGGUUUCACAGAAGGCAAUCCAGGCAAACCACUGACUGUUUGAUUCAAACAUUACAUUUUAUAUGUUAGAGGCCCAAGAGCAUCUGAGAGCCUCUUUACUGUCCCAGGCCCUUGGCCAGAACAAUCUUAAAACACAGCAACUUUCUUCAUAUUUUUUGCUUAUCAAUUUUUGCCCGAAUGGCAGACAAUUUUCAACCAACCUCACCUCCAUGUUAUAACAAUAUUAAUGAAUAACAAAAUCUGAUCUGGUUGGCUAGCAACAAAGUCCACAGAGACCCUGGCAUCUUUUCUAUUUUAAUAUGCAACAUUCCCAGAUGCUCCUGGGCCUUUAAGUAUAUUCACAUUAGGAUUAUAUAACUUGACUAGAAGUCCAUAGAUGACAAGUCUUAAUUUAUAAAUUUACUUGAUGUUUUUAACUGCAACAUUUNGUACUCUUGAAAAUAAAAAGAUGACACAUCAAGUAAACUCAUAAGUUAAGACUUCAUAGUCAAGUACUGGUAUCAUAAGUAUUAAUAGUCUCUAGGAUAGGGGAAGUCUCCUAGUUCCUUCACUUAAAGUGGUACACGAAACCCAACACUAUAAAUUAUACAAAGGAAAUUACAUGGAGACUUCCCCUUAAUUAUUUCAUCCCUGAUUACUCGUGUAAACAAAGUCUGGUUCACAAAAAGGCAUCAGUAUAAGAAAUAGAUUUUUCCUUUGUCUUUUGUGUUUGACUUCUGAUUGUCUUUCUGUGAACCAGACUUAACAUAUUGUUGACAUUGUAUAUCAACAAGGGGAUUAGGCAUUGUGUAGCUUAUUCCCUUGGGAAUUAAAAUAUGACAAAAUAAAAUACUAUGGAGGAUUA
rnacentral:lncRNA from 1 species